AUGCCGCCAGAUCGAGACAUUGAGUUUUUGAUAGAGCUGUUGCCAGGCACCAUACCGAUAUCGAAGAGACCAUAUCGGAAGCCCGCAAAUGAUCUGGAGGAGAUUAAGAAGCAGAUCAAGGAGCUAUUGAAGAAGGGUUACAUUCGACAAAGUUCGUCACCGUGGGGAGCCCCAGUGUUCUUGGUUGAGAACAAGGAUGGAUCACUGAGAAUGGUUGUUGAUUAUCGUGCACUGAACGAAGUAACGAUCAAGAACAAGUACCCGCUACCGAUGAUCAAUGACUUGUUUGACCAGCUGCAAGGAGCUAAAGUAUUCUCCAAGAUCGAUCUACGAUCAGGAUACCACCAGUUGAAGAUCCGAGAACAGGAUAUACCCAAGACAGCCUUCCCCACAAGGUACGGGCUAUACGGGUACACGGUGAUGUCAUUUGGAUUGACCAAUGCCCCUGCCUAUUUCAUGAGUAUGAUGAAUAAGGUGUUCAUGGAGUUCUUGGAUAAGUUUGUUGUGGUGUUCAUUGAUGAUAUCUUGGUAUACUCGAAGAAUAAAGAGGAGCACAAGGAGCAUUUGCGUUUAGUUCUCGAGAAGAUCAGGGAACAUCAGUUGUAUGCCAAGUUCAGCAAGUGUGAGUUUUGGUUAAAGGAAGUUGGAUUUCUUGGCCAUGUUAUAUUAGGAGAAGGUAUAGCAGUGGAUCCUACCAAGGUUAUUUCUGUCACUGAGUGGUUGGCACCCACCUUAGUUGGAGAGAUCCGCGGUUUUCUGGGACUCGCGGGAUAUUACCGGAGAUUCAUUGAGAAUUUUUUUAAGAUUGCGAAGCCCAUGACGGAGUUGUUGAAGAAGGACGCCAAGUUUAAAUGGACAGAAGAAUGUGAGGAAAGUUUUCAGGAGUUGAAGAAACGUUUGGUUACAGCCCCAGUGUUGAUUCUGCCGGAUAUACGCUAA
rnacentral:rRNA from 1 species